rnacentral:rRNA from 1 species
GCUAAUACCGGAUAAUAUAUUGAACCGCAUGGUUCUAAUAGUGAAAGACGGUUUUGCUGUCACUUAUAGAUGGAUCCGCGCUGCAUUAGCUAGUUGGUAAGGUAACGGCUUACCAAGGCAACGAUGCGUAGCCGACCUGAGAGGGCGAUCGGCCACACUGGAACUGAGACACGGUCCAGACUCCUACGGGAGGCAGCAGGA